UACGGAGGGUGCGAGCGUUUGUCCGGAAUCACUGGGCGUAAAGGGCGCGUAGGUGGCUUAGUAAGCGUGUGGUGAAAGCCCGGGGCUUAACCCCGGGGUCUGCCGUGCGAACUGCUAUGGCUAGAGGACUGUAGAGGCAAGUUGGAAUUCCGGGGUGUAGCGGUGGAAUGCGUAGAGAGUCCGGAAGAAUACCGGUGGCGAAGGCGGUCUGCUGGGCCGUG
rnacentral:rRNA from 1 species